GGUGAGAGCAGGCGGUGAAGAGUAGACACGACUGACGACUUCAGGGAUGCUACACCUUUCUCUCCUGCCUGGGCAAGCCUCGGUUUGCUAGACUUGAAUGUGAGUUGGGAGUCCAGAAGAGAGCUUACCUGAGGAUGGAGCCAAACUUGAUAGGGGUAAGGGUGACAAUGAGUGUGAUAGCUCAGAGCAUGGGGCAGCAUAAUCAGGAUGCCCCUGGGGGCACUUGCAGCUGGCUGGGCUAUUCAUCUGGUCAUUUCUAUUUUUGCCUCUUGGAAUUGAAUUCUGCUGGGAGGCAGCCAGUGAGGUCCAAAGUCCUCUCCUCAAGGUUGUUGGAUUGUUUGAUGAUUGACUCCCCACGCGUUCCCAGCAGCUGCAGCUUCCCAGGCCCUUGCAUUGCCAGAGCUCCCUGGCUCUUCUCUCUAAUCAGGCUCCCAGCCUCACUGGGGGCUGAUUAAGACAUUUCCUGUCCUUGCAGGAAGUACCUUAUUCAUACCUCGGUUACAUUAUAUUUAGCUUAUUGUUUAAGGACACAGACUGGCUCAAAAUAGGUGCUCAGUUAAGAUUAAAUAAAUGGGU
rnacentral:lncRNA from 1 species